AUUGAACGCUGGCGGCAUGCUUUACACAUGCAAGUCGAACGGUAACAGGCCUUCGGGCGCUGACGAGUGGCGAACGGGUGAGUAAUGCAUCGGAACGUGCCCAGAGGGUGGGGGAUAACGCAGCGAAAGCUGUGCUAAUACCGCAUAUUAUCUGAGGAUGAAAGGCGGGGGACUAAGCAGCAAUGUUUGGCCUCGCGCCUUUGGAGCGGCCGAUGUCAGAUUAGGUAGUUGGGUGGGGUAAAGGCCUACCAAGCCGACGAUCUGUAGCUGGUCUGAGAGGACGACCAGCCACACUGGGACUGAGACACGGCCCAGACUCCUACGGGAGGCAGCAGUGGGGAAUUUUGGACAAUGGGCGCAAGCCUGAUCCAGCAAUGCCGCGUGCAGGAAGAAGGCCUUCGGGUUGUAAACUGCUUUUGUACGGAACGAAAGGUCUGGGUUAAUACCCUGGGCUCAUGACGGUACCGUAAGAAUAAGCACCGGCUAACUACGUG
rnacentral:rRNA from 1 species